GAUGAACGCUGGCGGCGUGCCUAAUACAUGCAAGUCGAGCGAACAGACGAGGAGCUUGCUCCUCUGACGUUAGCGGCGGACGGGUGAGUAACACGUGGAUAACCUACCUAUAAGACUGGGAUAACUUCGGGAAACCGGAGCUAAUAACGGAUAAUAUAUUGAACGGCAUGGUUCAAUAGUGAAAGACGGUUUUGCUGUCACUUAUAGAUGGAGCCGCGUCGCCUUAGCUAGUUGGUAAGGUAACGGCUCACCAAGGCGACGAUGCGUAGCCGACCUGAGAGGAUGAUCGGCCACACUGGAACUGAGACACGGUCCAGACUCCUACGGGAGGCAGCAGUGGGGAAUAUUCGACAAUGGGCGAAAGCCUGAUCCAGCCAUGCCGCGUGAGUGAAGAAGGCCUUCGGGUUGUAAAGCCCUUUUGUUAGGAAAGAACAAAAGCAGGUUUAUCCCCCGCUGUUCUGACGGUACCCAAAGAAUAAGCCACGGCUAACUUCGUG
rnacentral:rRNA from 1 species